UACGGAGGGUGCAAGCGUUAUCCGGAUUCACUGGGCUUAAAGGGUGCGUAGGUGGAUUAGUAAGUCAGGGGUGAAAUCUCCGGGCUUAACCCGGAAACUGCCAUUGAUACUAUUAGUCUUGAAUACCGUGGAGGUCAGCGGAAUAUGUCAUGUAGCGGUGAAAUGCUUAGAUAUGACAUAGAACACCAAUUGCGAAGGCAGCUGGCUACACGAGCAUUGACACUCAGGCACGAAAGCGUGGGGAUCAAACAGG
rnacentral:rRNA from 1 species